rnacentral:snoRNA from 1 species
AUUCCGUGAUGAGGGAACUUUUGUAAUAACUCUUUGAAUCUUUCCCAUGCCUCAUACAAGGAUUUAUCAUCCAUUUUUUGGAAAGCAAUAAUCUCAUUUCUCAGCUU